rnacentral:rRNA from 1 species
UAUGGUUGUGUGCCAGCAACCGCGGUAAUACGUAUGGAGCAAGCGUUAUCCGGAUUUACUGGGUGUAAAGGGAGUGUAGGUGGCCAGGCAAGUCAGAAGUGAAAGCCCGGGGCUCAACCCCGGGACUGCUUUUGAAACUGCAGGGCUAGAGUGCAGGAGGGGCAAGUGGAAUUCCUAGUGUAGCGGUGAAAUGCGUAGAUAUUAGGAGGAACACCAGUGGCGAAGGCGGCUUGCUGGACUGUAACUGACACUGAGGCUCGAAAGCGUGGGGAGCAAACAGG